UACGUAGGGUGCGAGCGUUUGUCCGGAAUUACUGGGCGUAAAGAGCUCGUAGGUGGUUUGUCGCGUUGUCCGUGAAAACUCACAGCUUAACUGUGGGCGUGCGGGCGAUACGGGGCAGACUGGAGUACUGCAGGGGAGACUGGAAUUCCUGGUGUAGCGGUGAAAUGCGCAGAUAUCAGGAGGAACACCGAUGGCGAAGGCAGGUCUCUGGGCAUUAACUGACGCUGAGGAGCGAAAGCAUGGGGAGCGAACAGG
rnacentral:rRNA from 1 species